GAUGAACGCUGGCGGCGUGCCUAAUACAUGCAAGUCGAGCGAAUGGACGAGAAGCUUGCUUCUCUGAUGUUAGCGGCGGACGGGUGAGUAACACGUGGAUAACCUACCUAUAAGACUGGGAUAACUUCGGGAAACCGGAGCUAAUACCGGAUAAUAUUUUGAACCGCAUGGUUCAAAAGUGAAAGACGGUCUUGCUGUCACUUAUAGAUGGAUCCGCGCUGCAUUAGCUAGUUGGUAAGGUAACGGCUUACCAAGGCAACGAUGCAUAGCCGACCUGAGAGGGUGAUCGGCCACACUGGAACUGAGACACGGUCCAGACUCCUACGGGAGGCAGCAGUAGGGAAUCUUCCGCAAUGGGCGAAAGCCUGACGGAGCAACGCCGCGUGAGUGAUGAAGGUCUUCGGAUCGUAAAACUCUGUUAUUAGGGAAGAACAAAUGUGUAAGUAACUGUGCACGUCUUGACGGUACCUAAUCAGAAAGCCACGGCUAACUACGUG
rnacentral:rRNA from 1 species